rnacentral:lncRNA from 1 species
GCGAGACUCUGUCUCAAAAAAAAAAAAAAAAAAAGGGUGGUGACACCACGGGGUUGUGUGGCUACACACAGAAGCCUGGGGCAACAGCAAGACGGCAGCAGCCAUGGCGAGGCAGAAGAGUCAACGCCAGCCCAGGAAGCAUCAGGAAGUCCACAUCAGGGGAGUGAGAUGGACAGAGAUCAAGGAAGGUGGAACAUUCUAGAGGCCUGAGACCCAGUUGGCUGCCCUCACACUGGACAGACAAGGAAGUUGCCCUGUAACCCUCACCAGAAGCCUGGAGAUAAUUUUAGAGGCCUGCCUGGAGUUUGAAGAACGCUCCUGAAAGAGAGGGACUCAGCUGGUGCAACCCUUCCCCUUUCCUCUUUCUCCUUGCUUUGAACAUGGAUCUAAUGGCAGGAGCUAAGGCAGCCAUCUUGUGACCAUGAGGAAAGAGACUGACAGCAGUUUCAGCCGGGCAUGCCUCAGCCAUUGAACAGCACCUUAGAUUUCUCACGUGAGAAAAAUAAAUUCCUGUUUGUUUAAAUCACUGAAGUAGUUUUUUGGUUAUUUUUUUGACUGAAAACAACCUUAACUGUACCUUAGUCUAUAGUCAACCUGGCCACCAUGAUGACCCUCCUAACACAUAGAUAUAGGCAUGAUGCGCUCCCUCUUCUGCUCAAAAUCCUUCCUUUGGAAGAUGUCUUUGUCCUCUAUCAGACUGCAAGGAUACUCCCUGCUUGUAGAAGGUAUAGAGAAGCAAUUCCUAGCAUUCACAGCUAGGUACAACACUUUGGGGAAAUAAUUGGCAAUAGCUUUGCAACUUAAGGAUGCUCAUAACCUUCUUGCCACUAACCCCAUG